rnacentral:ribozyme from 1 species
CUCUCUUUUCUCCUUUUUUUCCUUUUUUCCUUCUUUCUCCAUUUUUAAUCCCCUUCCUACCCUUACUUGUACAUACACAUACACAUACACAAAAAGGAGAGGUGGAAGAGAGGUGGACGAAAGGAGGGAAAGAGAAGU